GCUUGUCAGCGAUAACGGUGCCGCGCGGGGUGGCUGCCUUCGCACGGCCGCGYGCAGGGAGCGCUGCUUUUGUGUUUGGCGAGUUAAUCUAUUAAUGUCGUUCAGGAAAUGAGAUGGGAACAGAAGCGACUCGGUUACCGGCGGGCGGGCGUGCRUGUGCGUGUGUGCAGGUUUCUCCUUUUCUCCCGGCUGCCCCCUCUGCAGCCGAGCAGCAGCUCAGCGGGCUCUGCUGAGGCUGCGUUAAGAUCCCAGCCAGCCUCCCCCGGGAUUAACAGAUGCACAGAAGGAGCAGUCCAUCUGAGCAGCCCUGUCUACAUGGCUCGGAGUUCAGGGUGGCCACUGUGGUCCCAGUUCUCCCAGGCUCGCUUCCCGGGACGUUCUCCCGGCGUGUGCUCACUGCCGGCUGAUGGAUGCCCUGGCACAAGCAGUGCCCGGGCGCCCGACGCACGCGGCCACCGUCCCAGCACGGCCCGGCCGCCGCAGUGUCUGCAGCCAGCGGCACGCAGAGCUGUGCCCGUCAGUCCCUCCGUCCACCGUUGACUCCCUGACCUCGGCGAGCAGCACAAGCCGAGGGGGGGAGCUGCGCCGUGGAGGGCCACGCUGACCCUGCACAACAAGUCCCUUGGCCACACCGAGCCGCAUGGCCAGGCACGUCUGAGCCCUCCACGCUGGCACCCAGCGCACAGGACUGCGCCCGACGGCACUUCUAGAAGCAGUGACUGAUGCCGUGCACGUCCAGAGCCGUUUGGCUGGGCAGCGUCUGCACCCUUGCAGCACCCAGUCUCCCACGUCUGGGAGGACACCCAGCGCUGCCACGCAGCCAGGCCUGCAGCAACCGCCAUACCGUCAUGUCUCCCUCCCAUCCCCACCAAAAGCAAAGCCCACGGGGGAAAAUGGUGGCAGGGCUUGCUCUCAUGGCUUCCUUUCCAGGCCCUCCACCAGCCCAUCCUUCCUCCCCUGCUUUGAGAAAGUCAGCUUCUCAAAAAAAACCAAAAAAACAAAAAAACAAAGAAAAGCAAGGAAAAGUGAAAGGGAGUGAAAUUCCAGAACAGCGAGAGAGGGAGAAGGGAAAGAGGGAGGCAGAGGAAAAAGAGAUAAAAGAAGCCCUGCCAGCAAGGAUGGCAGGAGGCGGCCG
rnacentral:lncRNA from 1 species